UACGUAGGGGGCAAGCGUUGUCCGGAAUUACUGGGCGUAAAGCGUGCGCAGGCGGUCCGCAAAGUCUGAUGUGAAAGCCCCGGGCUCAACCUGGGAACUGCAUUGGAAACUAACGGGCUCGAGUGUGGCAGAGGGGGGUGGAAUUCCACGUGUAGCAGUGAAAUGCGUAGAGAUGUGGAGGAACACCGAUGGCGAAGGCAGCCCCCUGGGCUAACACUGACGCUCAGGCACGAAAGCGUGGGGAGCAAACAGG
rnacentral:rRNA from 1 species